GACGAACGCUGGCGGCGUGCUUAACACAUGCAAGUCGAACGGAAAGGCCUGUCCUUCCUUGUGUUGGACGGGUACUCGAGUGGCGAACGGGUGAGUAACACGUGAGUGAUCUGCCCCCAACUUGGGUAUAAGCCUGGGAAACUGGGUCUAAUUCCCGAUAGGACUGCAGGGUGGUGCCUGUGGUGGAAAACGAUUUUCUAGUGGUUGGGGAUGAGCUCGCGGCCUAUCAGCUUGUUGGUGGGGUAAUGGCCUACCAAGGCGGCGACGGGUAGCCGGCCUGAGAGGGUGGACGGCCACAUUGGGACUGAGAUACGGCCCAGACUCAUACGGGAGGCAGCAGUGGGGAAUAUUGCACAAUGGGCGGAAGCCUGAUGCAGCGACGCCGCGUGGGGGAUGACGGCCUUCGGGUUGUAAACUCCUUUCGACCGCGAGGAAGCCGCCUGGUUGGAAGGGUGGUGACGGUAGUGGUAGAAGAAGCACCGGCUAACUACGUG
rnacentral:rRNA from 1 species